rnacentral:rRNA from 1 species
UGGUUCAUUCAAAUUUCUGCCCUAUCAACUUUCGAUGGUAGGAUAGUGGCCUACCAUGGUGGCAACGGGUAACGGGGAAUUAGGGUUCGAUUCCGGAGAGGGAGCCUGAGAAACGGCUACCACAUCCAAGGAAGGCAGCAGGCGCGCAAAUUACCCAAUCCCGAUACGGGGAGGUAGUGACAAUAAAUACUGAUACGGGGCUCUUUUGGGUCUCGUAAUUGGAAUGAGAACAAUUUAAAUCCCUUAACGAGGAACAAUUGGAGGGCAAGUCUGGUGCCAGCAGCCGCGGUAAUUCCAGCUCCAAUAGCGUAUAUUAAAGUUGUUGCAGUUAAAAAGCUCGUAGUUGAACCUUGGGUCUGGCUGGCCGGUCCGCCUCACCGCGAGUACUGGUCCGGCUGGACCUUUCCUUCUGGGGAACCCCAUGGCCUUCACUGGCUGUGGGGGGAACCAGGACUUUUACUGUGAAAAAAUUAGAGUGUUCAAAGCAGGCCUUUGCUCGAAUACAUUAGCAUGGAAUAAUAGAAUAGGACGUGCGGUUCUAUUUUGUUGGUUUCUAGGACCGCCGUAAUGAUUAAUAGGGAUAGUCGGGGGCGUCAGUAUUCAGCUGUCAAAGGUGAAAUUCUUGGAU